GUACACGGUGGAUGCCCUGGCAGUCAGAGGCGAUGAAGGACGUGCUAAUCUGCGAUAAGCGUCGGUAAGGUGAUAUGAACCGUUAUAACCGGCGAUUUCCGAAUGGGGAAACCCAGUGUGNNNNNNNNNNNNNNNNNNNNNNNNNNNNNCACAUAUUGUGAGCUCGAUGAGUAGGGCGGGACACGUGGUAUCCUGUCUGAAUAUGGGGGGACCAUCCUCCAAGGCUAAAUACUCCUGACUGACCGAUAGUGAACCAGUACCGUGAGGGAAAGGCGAAAAGAACCCCGGCGAGGGGAGUGAAAAAGAACCUGAAACCGUGUACGUACAAGCAGUGGGAGCACGCUUAGGCGUGUGACUGCGUACCUUUUGUAUAAUGGGUCAGCGACUUAUAUUCUGUAGCAAGGUUAACCGAAUAGGGGAGCCGAAGGGAAACCGAGUCUUAACUGGGCGUUAAGUUGCAGGGUAUAGACCCGAAACCCGGUGAUCUAGCCAUGGGCAGGUUGAAGGUUGGGUAACACUAACUGGAGGACCGAACCGACUAAUGUUGAAAAAUUAGCGGAUGACUUGUGGCUGGGGGUGAAAGGCCAAUCAAACCGGGAGAUAGCUGGUUCUCCCCGAAAGCUAUUUAGGUAGCGCCUCGUGAAUUCAUCUCCGGGGGUAGAGCACUGUUUCGGCAAGGGGGUCAUCCCGACUUACCAACCCGAUGCAAACUGCGAAUACCGGAGAAUGUUAUCACGGGAGACACACGGCGGGUGCUAACGUCCGUCGUGAAGAGGGAAACAACCCAGACCGCCAGCUAAGGUCCCAAAGUCAUGGUUAAGUGGGAAACGAUGUGGGAAGGCCCAGACAGCCAGGAUGUUGGCUUAGAAGCAGCCAUCAUUUAAAGAAAGCGUAAUAGCUCACUGGUCGAGUCGGCCUGCGCGGAAGAUGUAACGGGGCUAAACCAUGCACCGAAGCUGCGGCAGCGACGCUUAUGCGUUGUUGGGUAGGGGAGCGUUCUGUAAGCCUGCGAAGGUGUGCUGUGAGGCAUGCUGGAGGUAUCAGAAGUGCGAAUGCUGACAUAAGUAACGAUAAAGCGGGUGAAAAGCCCGCUCGCCGGAAGACCAAGGGUUCCUGUCCAACGUUAAUCGGGGCAGGGUGAGUCGACCCCUAAGGCGAGGCCGAAAGGCGUAGUCGAUGGGAAACAGGUUAAUAUUCCUGUACUUGGUGUUACUGCGAAGGGGGGACGGAGAAGGCUAUGUUGGCCGGGCGACGGUUGUCCCGGUUUAAGCGUGUAGGCUGGUUUUCCAGGCAAAUCCGGAAAAUCAAGGCUGAGGCGUGAUGACGAGGCACUACGGUGCUGAAGCAACAAAUGCCCUGCUUCCAGGAAAAGCCUCUAAGCAUCAGGUAACAUCAAAUCGUACCCCAAACCGACACAGGUGGUCAGGUAGAGAAUACCAAGGCGCUUGAGAGAACUCGGGUGAAGGAACUAGGCAAAAUGGUGCCGUAACUUCGGGAGAAGGCACGCUGAUAUGUAGGUGAAGUCCCUUGCGGAUGGAGCUGAAAUCAGUCGAAGAUACCAGCUGGCUGCAACUGUUUAUUAAAAACACAGCACUGUGCAAACACGAAAGUGGACGUAUACGGUGUGACGCCUGCCCGGUGCCGGAAGGUUAAUUGAUGGGGUCAGCGCAAGCGAAGCUCUUGAUCGAAGCCCCGGUAAACGGCGGCCGUAACUAUAACGGUCCUAAGGUAGCGAAAUUCCUUGUCGGGUAAGUUCCGACCUGCACGAAUGGCGUAAUGAUGGCCAGGCUGUCUCCACCCGAGACUCAGUGAAAUUGAACUCGCUGUGAAGAUGCAGUGUACCCGCGGCAAGACGGAAAGACCCCGUGAACCUUUACUAUAGCUUGACACUGAACAUUGAGCCUUGAUGUGUAGGAUAGGUGGGAGGCUUUGAAGUGUGGACGCCAGUCUGCAUGGAGCCGGCCUUGAAAUACCACCCUUUAAUGUUUGAUGUUCUAACGUGGACCCGUGAUCCGGGUUGCGGACAGUGUCUGGUGGGUAGUUUGACUGGGGCGGUCUCCUCCUAAAGAGUAACGGAGGAGCACGAAGGUUGGCUAAUCCUGGUCGGACAUCAGGAGGUUAGUGCAAUGGCAUAAGCCAGCUUGACUGCGAGCGUGACGGCGCGAGCAGGUGCGAAAGCAGGUCAUAGUGAUCCGGUGGUUCUGAAUGGAAGGGCCAUCGCUCAACGGAUAAAAGGUACUCCGGGGAUAACAGGCUGAUACCGCCCAAGAGUUCAUAUCGACGGCGGUGUUUGGCACCUCGAUGUCGGCUCAUCACAUCCUGGGGCUGAAGUAGGUCCCAAGGGUAUGGCUGUUCGCCAUUUAAAGUGGUACGCGAGCUGGGUUUAGAACGUCGUGAGACAGUUCGGUCCCUAUCUGCCGUGGGCGCUGGAGAACUGAGGGGGGCUGCUCCUAGUACGAGAGGACCGGAGUGGACGCAUCACUGGUGUUCGGGUUGUCAUGCCAAUGGCACUGCCCGGUAGCUAAAUGCGGAAGAGAUAAGUGCUGAAAGCAUCUAAGCACGAAACUUGCCCCGAGAUGAGUUCUCCCUGACCCUUUAAG
rnacentral:rRNA from 1 species